rnacentral:tRNA from 2 species
GCCUCGUUAGCGCAAUAGGCAGCGCGUCAGUCUCAUAAUCGAAUUUAGAAAUCUGAAGGUCGUGAGUUCGAUCCUCACACGGGGCA